rnacentral:misc_RNA from 1 species
GUGAAUCAUCGAAUCUUUGAACGCAAAUUGCGCUUCCUGGCAUCCCGGGGAGUAUGCCUGUUUGAGGCUCAGUAUUAACAAAAAAGCGGUUGGGUUGCAAAUUGUGACGUUGCCGGAGUUUGUACUAUCUUACCUUUUUUGGUUAAGGGGCUUAAAAUUGACCUUAUUGGCGCAUUUUUAGACGUACAUAAAUUUUUUUUUUAUUGGUCUAUUCUUAAUGCUUAAAUCUUAUUAACU